GACGAACGCUGGCGGCGUGCUUAACACAUGCAAGUCGAGCGGUAAGGCCACUUCGGUGGCACACGAGCGGCGAACGGGUGAGUAACACGUGAGCAAUCUGCCCCCCACUCUGGGAUAACCCCCGGAAACGGGAGCUAAUACCGGAUACGACCACUUCGGGCAUCCGAUGGUGGUGGAAAGUUCCGGCGGUGGGGGAUGAGCUCGCGGCCUAUCAGCUUGUUGGUGGGGUAAUGGCCCACCAAGGCUUCGACGGGUAGCCGGCCUGAGAGGGUGACCGGCCACACUGGGACUGAGACACGGCCCAGACUCCUACGGGAGGCAGCAGUGGGGAAUAUUGGACAAUGGGCGAAAGCCUGAUCCAGCAACGCCGCGUGAGGGAUGACGGCCUUCGGGUUGUAAACCUCUUUCAGCGCAGACGAAGCGAAAGUGACGGUAUGCGCAGAAGAAGCACCGGCCAACUACGUGCCAGCCGCCGCAGUAACAC
rnacentral:rRNA from 1 species